rnacentral:rRNA from 1 species
CAGUCGCCGCGGUAAUACGAAGGGUGCAAGCGUUACUCGGAAUUACUGGGCGUAAAGCGUGUGUAGGUGGUUGUUUAAGUCUUUCGUGAAAGCCCUGGGCUCAACCUGGGAAUUGCGAUGGAUACUGGGCGACUAGAGUGCGGUAGAGGAUAGUGGAAUUUCCGGUGUAGCAGUGAAAUGCGUAGAGAUCGGAAGGAACAUCUGUGGCGAAGGCGACUAUCUGGGCCAACACUGACACUGAGACACGAAAGCGUGGGGAGCAAACAGGAUUAGAUACCCCAGUAGUCCCUGUCUCUUAUAC